rnacentral:tRNA from 1 species
GGAGAGAUGGCUGAGCUGGCUUAAGGCGCACGCUUGGAAAGCGUGUGAGGGUUUAUAGCCCUCCGAGGGUUCGAAUCCCUCUUUCUCCGCCA